rnacentral:rRNA from 1 species
GACGAACGCUGGCGGCGUGGAUUAGGCAUGCAAGUCGAACGGUAGGAUACCUUCGGGUAUCUGAGAGUGGCGAACGGGUGAGUAACACGUAGGUGAUCUACCCUCAAGAUUGGGACAACCCAGGGAAACUUGGGCUAAUACCGGAUGAAAGCAGCAGUGAUGUUGUUUGAAAGGUGGCGUAAGCUGCCGUUUGGGGAUGAGCCUGCGCUCUAUUAGUUAGUUGGCGGGGUAAAGGCCCACCAAGGCGAUGAUAGAUAGGCGGCCUUAACGGGUGGUCGCCCACACUGGGAUUGAGAUACGGCCCAGACUCCUACGGGAGGCAGCAGUCGAGAAUAGUCUACAAUGGCCGAAAGGCUGAUAGUGCGACGCCGCGUGAACGAAGAAGCCCUUCGGGGUGUAAAGUUCUUUUAUAUGUGAGCAGUGCUUCUUAUAUUAACAGUAUGGGGAGAGAGAUAUUAGCAUAUGAAUAAGCAACGGCUAACUCCGUAGCCAGCCAGCCCGUAC